rnacentral:lncRNA from 1 species
CGUCUCUUGCAGGCAACAACGACGAACCCACCAAUAUUUCCAAAUUUGCCUCCCUUUCGUGGCUUCCAGUUUCCUCCUUACAGCGGACCUUUUCCGGAAUAUAGGUUGCCGCCAUUUCCAGGUAUUUCAAACGUCCCUCCUUCAGCACCUGGCUUUCCUGGCUCUUCAGCACCUGGCUUUCCUGGCUCUUCAGCAUCUGGCUUUCCUGGUUCCUUCCCUUCGUUCCCUGCUCCACCAACAUUGCCCAACACUACCCCUUGAAUCCACCGAAUUAAAACUAUCACCAUGAACGAUUACGCGUUCAUUUUCUAAAUAAUUAGUGC